GAAAAUUAAUUAGGGCUCAAACGA
rnacentral:siRNA from 1 species